AUUGAACGCUGGCGGCAGGCCUAACACAUGCAAGUCGAACGGCAGCACAGAAGAGCUUGCUCUUUGGGUGGCGAGUGGCGGACGGGUGAGUAAUGUCUGGGAAACUGCCCGAUGGAGGGGGAUAACUACUGGAAACGGUAGCUAAUACCGCAUAACGUCGCAAGACCAAAGUGGGGGACCUUCGGGCCUCACACCAUCGGAUGUGCCCAGAUGGGAUUAGCUAGUAGGUGGGGUAAUGGCUUACCUAGGCGACGAUCCCUAGCUGGUCUGAGAGGAUGACCAGCCACACUGGAACUGAGACACGGUCCAGACUCCUACGGGAGGCAGCAGUGGGGAAUAUUGCUCAAUGGGCGCAAGCCUGAUGCAGCCAUGCCGCGUGUAUGAAGAAGGCCUUCGGGUUGUAAAGUACUUUCAGCGGGGAGGAAGGCGGUGAGGUUAAUAACCUUGCCGAUUGACGUUACCCGCAGAAGAAGCACCGGCUAACUCCGUGCCAGCCGCCGCAGUAACAC
rnacentral:rRNA from 1 species